rnacentral:rRNA from 1 species
UCGAGAAUCUUUCGCAAUGCCCGAAAGGGUGACGAAGCGACGCCGCGUGCGGGAAGAAGGCCUUCGGGUUGUAAACCGCUGUCGGGAGUUAAGAAAUGCAAGGAUGUUAAUAGCAUCUUUGUUUGACUAAGGCUCCGGAGGAAGCCACGGCUAACUCUGUGCCAGCAGCCGCGGUAAUACGUAGGGGGCAAGCGUUGUCCGGAUUCACUGGGUGUAAAGGGCGCGCAGGCGGGUUAGCAAGUCAGAGGUGAAAUCCUACAGCUUAACUGUAGAACUGCCUUUGAGACUGCUAAUCUUGAGUACGGAAGAGAGAGAUGGAAUUCCAGGUGUAGUGGUGAAAUACGUAGAUAUCUGGAAGAACACCAGUGGCGAAGGCGGUCUCUUGGUCCUAUACUGACGCUAAGGCGCGAAAGCCAGGGGAGCAAACGGGAUUAGAUACCCUCGUAGUCCCUGAGCGGGCUGGCAAGGCGCCAU